rnacentral:rRNA from 1 species
AUUGAACGCUGGCGGCAUGCUUUACACAUGCAAGUCGAACGGUAACAGGUUAAGCUGACGAGUGGCGAACGGGUGAGUAAUGCAUCGGAACGUGCCCGGUCGUGGGGGAUAACGCAGAGAAAGCUGCGCUAAUACCGCAUACGAUCUGAGGAUGAAAGCGGGGGACCGUAAGGCCUCGCGCGAUCGGAGCGGCCGGUGUCAGAUUAGGUAGUUGGUGGGGUAAAGGCUCACCAAGCCAACGAUCUGUAGCUGGUCUGAGAGGACGACCAGCCACACUGGGACUGAGACACGGCCCAGACUCCUACGGGAGGCAGCAGUGGGGAAUUUUGGACAAUGGGCGAAAGCCUGAUCCAGCAAUGCCGCGUGCAGGAAGAAGGCCUUCGGGUUGUAAACUGCUUUUGUACGGAGCGAAAAGGUCUCCUCUAAUACAGGGGGCUCAUGACGGUACCGUAAGAAUAAGCACCGGCUAACUACGUGCCAGCAGCCGCCGUAAAAC